UUGCUUAGAAUUUUUUCACCUAGCGAAAGGGUGUGAAGGAGUGAACUACCAAGUGGGAGUUUAAUACCCAUUAGUAGUGUUUGCUUUUCAGUCAUAGCUAAUGCUCAUGGAUUUCUCAGGAAAUGGGCCUAAGAGGACUAACCCAACUACUAGGGAUUGACCUAGUCAACUACUACAACAAUUCCAACUACCAGAAGCGGUGUAGAAUAUGUGACAAUGCAACAACAACUACUGAUAAUCCUGAUGCUGCUUUCUUUUGGGCCUAGUGGCAGAACUAAAUCGCGCAAUGGUCAGUGAUAGAUUAGAAUGUCUAAAUCAAGUUCUUGGCUAUAUAAGAAUAAUGCUUGGUGUACAGACACAGUUUACAGAAUUGGUAUACAUAUGGCAGACUCCUAUUGAGUGUUGACUAUGAUCCAUUUAUUUAAAGGACCACUUGCAGUUGGCCAAUUCACUUUGUAUUCAAGUUUUGUAGACUAGUUUAAGUAAAUCUAUCAUGACUCUUUCUAUAUUGACAAUACCGUUAUUUUUUUAAGUAAUGUUGCUUAUGUCUCGAGUCCUUGAUUCUCUGAUAUUUAGCUGUAGUUACAAUGACUGAUUUAUUGAGGUUUCUACGUUAUCUUGCCUACUUUAUUUUCUUAUUUAAGGUGCAGCUUUAAAGACUGAGGAAUGCUUGGUGCUGUAUGUGGGAGGGAAUUUCAAUGGGGGUGGGGGAAGAAGAUUUUUAACAGGAACCCUAUGUGGGGUUGGAGUUUGAUACCGCAGAUGAUGCUCAUAUAUUCUAUGGCAAUAUUGCAUCACGAGUGGGUUUUAGAAUACGGUCUGGUCUAUCGAUUGCAAGUGGAUGGAUCAGUUUGUAAUAGGAGAUUUGUGUGCUAGAAAGAGGGUUUCUGAUUAAUUCAAGGACAGGAUGCCCUGCAUUCAUAAGGGUGAAAAUAUCUGACUCUGGCAAGUAGGUCCUUGACCAAUUUGUGAAAGAUCACAGUCAUGAUCUCAACGUUUGUGAGGAGAAUCAUCCUGCCAAUUCCUUGUGCAAAAGUUCAGCAACAACUGCUAAAGUAGUUGAUUUGUGCCGUAAGCCACAGAUAAAACAGCUUGAUGUUGUUGAUAAUGGAUGCUCAUCUUCUUCAAGUA